rnacentral:rRNA from 1 species
CCUACGGGCGGCAGCAGUAGGGAAUCUUCCACAAUGGGCGAAAGCCUGCUGGAGCAACGCCGCGUGGGUGAAGAAGGUCUUCGGAUCGUAAAACCCUGUUGUUAGAGAAGAAAGUGCGUGAGAGUAACUGUUCACGUUUCGACGGUAUCUAACCAGAAAGCCACGGCUAACUACGUGCCAGCAGCCGCGGUCAUACGUAGGUGGCAAGCGUUAUCCGGAUUUAUUGGGCGGAAAGGGAACGCAGGCGGUCUUUUAAGUCUGAUGUGAAAGCCUUCGGCUUAACCGGAGUAGUGCAUUGGAAACUGGGAGACUUGAGUGCAGAAGAGGGGAGUGGAACUCCAUGUGUAGCGGUGAAAGGCGUAGAUAUAUGGAAGAACACCAGUGGCGAAAGCGGCUCUCUGGUCUGUAACUGACGCUGAGGUUCGAAAGCGUGGGUAGCAAACAGGAUUAGAUACCCUGGUAGUC